CUGUCCAGGAUUCUUGCAUUCUCUGUUCCCGGCAAGCCAGGCUCCAAGCUGUUCCCCCUUACAGAUUUCUCCUCUGCUCACUUCUUCUCUGUCUUGGUGGACCUCUGUAGAUGGUUCUCGACUGUGCUCAGCUAUUUCUGAUCCAUGAGGAUGCCCUGACAUGCCACAUUUGUUCUUCAAGGUGUCGUAAAGGUUGGGUGAGGCCUGUGUGGGUAAGGACCUCACAGGAUGGCCACAUUGAAGCUAUUGAAGUGACUUUUCAUACUUUUCCUUUCCAGGCUUUGAUCUUUUUCCCCCAGGAAAGAAUAGCGCCUCUUUCGAUCCUUGCCACUAUCAGUAAACUUCUUCUCAGUUAUAGCCUGCUAUGGAGGAUACUCUAGGGGAUUCAGCUUUCUUGAACUUUCUUCCAGGGGUAUCUGUCCCUGAGCCUUGCCCGGCUGUUCUCUUUGAAACGCUAGGUCUUGAUGCUCCUGAGGGGUCUUCUUCAGAGCCUUGCCGGGCUCCUUAAACACCAUCUCUGUUCCAUCCUGGCAUUUCCUUUUUUGACCUUGUCCCAAAGCUUCACACUCGGCCUUUGUCCCACUUUCGUCCAGGUGUUUUCGUUUUCGACCUUUUCCUUUAGCUUGGGGUUUCAUCUCAGCCCUUGGCUCUUUAGGGCGCCACAUGGAGACCGGCUUGGACUAGUUUUUCGAGGAUUCAGACUUUCAAAUGUCCAAGGAAAAAGCAACCGCAUGCCUGGCUCCGGGUGGGUACUCUUGGGUUGUUUCAGUAGGGGUUCAGGGUCUAUUGGGCUCUUCUUUAUGCAGUUGAUUUGCAUGUCAGGGUCAGUCAAAGACAUGUAAAUUUGGCAAUCAGAAACCUGGUUGGUGAAUAGUCAGAUGUUGGCAGUUCACCAGGGUCCACUCUGGGAACCUGUGGGGAAUUCUAAGAAUACUUCCUCACAUGUAUCCUUCUAGGGGGCUGUCAUCAGCUAAAUGCCUAAAACUUUGAAAUCAGACUGAUUGUCCUAGUCAAAUCACUAAUCAGGCACCAGGUCUAAACCUAGCAGCUACCACUUCGGAGGCAACCUCACAAAAUGAUACCUAAAUCAGGGGGCUGCCCCUAAUGACAGUCUUCAGGGGCCAUAGCUGGAUUUGAUAUCACCUGAAAGAACGCAAACCAACGUUUUUGGUGGGUGGACGCUCUCCCCUACUCCAACUAGGCCCAUGAUUUCAAAGCGCUCCCUUCCCCGAGUGGGAAGUUUGAAUGAAUGAUACAUAGCUCAGUUCACUUUGGCAGAGCAGAGUUCCCUAAAUCACCUCAGCAUAAUUUAACUGGUCCUGACUAGUACAUUUGACUUUUAGGAACCUGCCCCAUCAUGGUCAAUUAUAGGAAACAAAAUAUAAGUGCCCUUCAACAUAUCUUCUCACAAUGGGCUUGCUAAUUACAAAGAAUACAUAUAAUUUUACAGUUAUAAAACUUCGCAGGUAUUAAACUUGAGAAAACUUUUCUCUCUCCUAGAUAAAGAACCCAGGACAGAGCAAAGUGCCCAUACCACCAAAGUCCUACUUGGUGAACCAAUGAGUUUUAUUGGGGUUAUUUAUAGGAAUAUGGAUGAGGUGUUCCUUACAGGAGCAGAAAUGACUCAAAGACAGCUGCAUCACCAAGGCCCACCCCAGCAUGGUGAC
ensembl:lncRNA